CCCUUAGAUGUUCUGGGUCGCACGCGCGCUACACUGAUGCAUUCAACAAGCCUAGCCUUGACCGAGAGGUCCGGGUAAUCUUUGAAACUGCAUCGUGAUGGGGCUAGAUUAUUGCAAUUAUUAAUCUUCAACGAGGAAUGCCUAGUAAGCGUGAUUCAUCAAAUCGCGUUGAUUACGUCCCUGCCCUUUGUACACACCGCCCGUCGCUCCUACCGAUUGAAUGUGUUGGUGAGGAGCUCGGAUUGGCAGCAGUUGGUGGUUCGCCACCGGCUAUUGCUGAGAAGUCCUCCAAACCGCCCCAUUUAGAGGAAGGAGAANUCGUAACA
rnacentral:rRNA from 1 species